GGUAUAGUUCUUCGGAAUUAGAGACCGGCGCACGGGUGCGUAACGCGUAUGCAAUCUACCUUUCACAGAGGGAUAGCCCAGAGAAAUUUGGAUUAAUACCUCAUAGUAUUAUGAAAUGGCAUCAUUUUAUAAUUAAAGUCACAACGGUGAAAGAUGAGCAUGCGUCCCAUUAGCUAGUUGGUAAGGUAACGGCUUACCAAGGCCACGAUGGGUAGGGGUCCUGAGAGGGAGGUCCCCCACACUGGUACUGAGACACGGACCAGACUCCUACGGGAGGCAGCAGUGAGGAAUAUUGGUCAAUGGGCGCAAGCCUGAACCAGCCAUGCCGCGUGCAGGAUGACGGUCCUAUGGAUUGUAAACUGCUUUUGUACGAGAAGAAACAACAUUACGUGUAAUGUCUUGACGGUAUCGUAAGAAUAAGGAUCGGCUAACUCCGUGCCAGCAGCCGCGGUAAUACGGAGGAUCCAAGCGUUAUCCGGAAUCAUUGGGUUUAAAGGGUCCGUAGGCGGUUUAGUAAGUCAGUGGUGAAAGCCCAUCGCUCAACGGUGGAACGGCCAUUGAUACUGCUAGACUUGAAUUAUUAGGAAGUAACUAGAAUAUGUAGUGUAGCGGUGAAAUGCUUAGAGAUUACAUGGAAUACCAAUUGCGAAGGCAGGUUACUACUAAUGGAUUGACGCUGAUGGACGAAAGCGUGGGUAGCGAGCA
rnacentral:rRNA from 1 species